GGCUCAGAACGACGCUGGCGGCGCGUUUAAGCAUGCAAGUCGAGCGGCAAGGGCCUUCGGGCCCCUAGAGCGGCGGACGGGUGAGUAACACGUGGACAAUCUGCCCCCCGGCCCGGGAUAGCCCAGGGAAACCUGGAUUAAUACCGGAUGAGACGGGACCCGCGAUGGCGGGACCCGGGAAAGGCGCUGCGGCGCCGCCGGGGGAUGAGUCUGCGUCCCAUUAGCUAGACGGCGGGGUAACGGCCCACCGUGGCGACGAUGGGUAGCCGGCCUGAGAGGGUGGACGGCCACAUUGGAACUGAGACACGGUCCAGACUCCUACGGGAGGCAGCAGCUAAGAAUCUUCCGCAAUGGGCGAAAGCCUGACGGAGCCGACGCCGCGUGAACGAAGAAGGCCGUGAGGUUGUAAAGUUCUUUUCGGGAGGGGGAACAACCGUGGCAGGGAAUGGCCGCGGGAUGACGUGAAUCCCGGAAUAAGCCCCGGCUAACUACGUGCCAGCCGCAGC
rnacentral:rRNA from 1 species